rnacentral:rRNA from 1 species
UACGAAGGGUGCAAGCGUUACUCGGAAUUACUGGGCGUAAAGCGUGCGUAGGUGGUUUGUUAAGUCUGUUGUGAAAUCCCCGGGCUCAACCUGGGAAUGGCAAUGGAUACUGGAUAGCUAGAGUGUGAUAGAGGAUGGUGGAAUUCCCGGUGUAGCGGUGAAAUGCGUAGAGAUCGGGAGGAACAUCAGUGGCGAAGGCGGCCAUCUGGAUCAACACUGACGCUGAGGCACUAAAGCGUGGGGAGCAAACAGG